ACCAAGUGAAGGACCUGGAUCUACGAGCACAGACACACAGAGCAGGUUACUGCCAACGCCGCACUUCGAACUGCUGGGCAAACGAAGAACAUGAGUGACACCGUAUCAAGAGGUGCAGACGUCAAGGUCCGCACCUGAAUCCAAUGACGCACCUGAAGAAUGAACACGGUGAGAAGUCUUGUUAAGAAGACUUAAAACAUUGAACCCUCGCCAAAAGGUAAGAUCGAUAGUUAUACAUAUUCAUCCUUUCUGCAUUCCCUUUUCCCUUUAAUUAUUUACUUUCCUUAAAUAGAUUAUUAGUAAAUCAUGCUAUCUUGAAAAGAAAAUAAAAAUGUUAAAAAAUACUAAGCGCCAUGUGAGUAUACGAGUGGCAUAAAACCCAUAAGUACCUUCAAUGUGGUGGCAUAAAAAUAAAAUAAAUAUUUCUUUUCUGCUUUAUAAAAUAAAAAUAUAAAAACAGGGAGUAAUAUUUAUUGAGGAAGCUCAACAUGAUGAAGGCUAGAUAUUUAUGCUAACACCUAAUUAUUUCCACAAGCUUUGUUGUCUAUUUGAGCUCCACAGAAUUUAAGAAUCAAGAAGACUAGUAGACGGAGGACAUUCUAAUCGCUGUCAGAAUGCUGCUGACUUUCAAAUACACCUCUGCCACCUGCUAGCUACAUCAAGAGAAAUUACGUCAAAAUUCAG
rnacentral:lncRNA from 1 species